UACGUAGGGCGCAAGCGUUGUCCGGAAUUAUUGGGCGUAAAGAGCUUGUAGGCGGUCUGUUGCGUCCGCUGUGAAAACUCGGGGCUUAACCCCGAGCCUGCAGUGGAUACGGGCAGACUAGAGGUAGGUAGGGGAGAAUGGAAUUCCCGGUGUAGCGGUGAAAUGCGCAGAUAUCGGGAAGAACACCCGUGGCGAAGGCGGCUCUCUGGGACGGUACUGACGCUGAGACGCGAAAGCGUGGGGAGCGAACAGG
rnacentral:rRNA from 1 species